rnacentral:rRNA from 1 species
UGAGUACGAGCUGCUACGGCAGCGAAGUGGGUGAUGUCAAGCUUCCAAGAAAAGCCCUAUACCCGUUAAGGCAUGACGGCCUGUACCCGAAACCGACACAGGUGGGGUGGUAGAGAAUACCGAGGGGCGCGAGAUAACUCUCUCUAAGGAACUCGGCAAAAUGGCCCCGUAACUUCGGGAGAAGGGGUGCCACCGCAAGGUGGUCGCAGUGAAGAGGCCCAGGCGACUGUUUACCAAAAACACAGGUCUCCGCUAAGUCGCAAGACGAUGUAUGGGGGCUGACGCCUGCCCAGUGCCGGAAGGUUAAGGAAGCUGGUCAGCGCAAGCGAAGCUAGCGACUGAAGCCCCGGUGAACGGCGGCCGUAACUAUAACGGUCCUAAGGUAGCGAAAUUCCUUGUCGGGUAAGUUCCGACCCGCACGAAAGGCGUAACGAUCUGGGCGCUGUCUCGGAGAGAGGCUCGGCGAAAUAGAAUUGUCUGUGAAGAUGCGGACUACGUGCACCCGGACAGAAAGACCCUAUGAAGCUUUACUGUAGCUUGGUAUUGUGCCCGGGCUCUGAAUGCGCAGGAUAGGUGGGAGGCUUUGAUCCAUUGCUUGUGGGUGAUGGUGAGCCAACGGUGAGAUACCACUCUUUCAGAGCUAGGGUUCUAACCCUCACCCGUUAUCCGGGGAGGGGACAGUAUCAGGUGGGCAGUUUGACUGGGGCGGUCGCCUCCUAAAAGGUAACGGAGGCGCGCAAAGGUUGCUCAGGCUGGUUGGAAAUCAGCCGACGAGUGUAAAAGCAGAAGCAAGCUUGACUGUGAGACCAACAAGUCGAACAGGGACGAAAGUCGGCUUUAGUGAUCCGACGGUUCUGAGUGGAAGGGCCGUCGCUCAACGGAUAAAAGUUACUCUAGGAUAACAGGCUGAUCUCCCCCAAGAGUUCACAUCGACGGGGAGGUUUGGCACCUCGAUGUCGGCUCAUCGCAACCUGGGGCUGAAGUCGGUCCCAAGGGUUGGGCUGUUCGCCCAUUAAAGCGGUACGCGAGCUGGGUUCAGAACGUCGUGAGACAGUUCGGUCCAUAUCCGGUGCAUGCGUAAGAACAUUGAGAGGAGUUCUCCCUAGUACGAGAGGACCGGGAGGAACGCACCUCUGGUGUACCAGUUAUCGUGCCAACGGUAAACGCUGGGUAGCCAUGUGCGGAGAGGAUAACCGCUGAAAGCAUCUAAGUGGGAAGCCCACCUCAAGAUGAGUGUUCUCAUGGCUUAAGCCAGUAAGGUCACGGGAAGAACACCCGUUGAUAGGCUCUACGUGGAAGCGCAGCAAUGUGUGAAGCGGAGGAGUACUAAUAGACCGAGGGCUUGACC